rnacentral:rRNA from 1 species
GAGCGAACGCUGGCGGCAGGCUUACCACAUGCAAGUCGAACGGGCAUCGCAAUAUGUCAGUGGCAGACGGGUGAGUAACGCGUGGGAACGUACCUUUUGGUUCGGAACAACACAGGGAAACUUAUGCUAAUACCGGAUAAGCCCUUACGGGGAAAGAUUUAUCGCCGAAAGAUCGGCCCGCGUCUGAUUAGCUAGUUGGUAGGGUAAUGGCCUACCAAGGCGACGAUCAGUAGCUGGUCUGAGAGGAUGAUCAGCCACAUUGGGACUGAGACACGGCCCAAACUCCUACGGGAGGCAGCAGUGGGGAAUAUUGGACAAUGGGCGAAAGCCUGAUCCAGCCAUGCCGCGUGAGUGAUGAAGGCCCUAGGGUUGUAAAGCUCUUUUGUGCGGGAAGAUAAUGACGGUACCGCAAGAAUAAGCCCCGGCUAACUUCGUG